rnacentral:rRNA from 1 species
CGGUAAGACGUAGGAUGCAAGCGUUAUCCGGAAUUAUUGGGCGUAAAGCGUCCGCAGGCGGUUUAGUAAGUUGGAUGUCAAAGCUCUGGGCUCAACCCAGAAAUUGUAUCCGAUACUGCUAGACUAGAGACAGGUAGAGGCGAGUGGAAUUCUGCAUGUAGGGGUAAUAUCCGUAGAUAUGCAGAGGAACACCAAAAGCGAAGGCAGCUCGCUGGACCUGUUCUGACGCUCAUGGACGAAAGCGUGGGGAGCGAACGGGAUUAGAUACCCCGGUAGUCCACGCCGUAAACGAUGAGUACUAGGUGUUGGAGACUUCGACCUUUCCAGUGCCGACGCUAACGCAUUAAGUACUCCGCCUGGGUAGUACGAUCGCAAGAUUAAAACUCAAAGGAAUAGACGGGGACCCACACAAGCGGUGGAGCAUCUGGUUUAAUUCGACAAUAAGCGAGGAACCUUACCUAGGUUUGACAUCCCGAGAAGAUCGCCGAAAGGUGAUUGUGCCGUUAGGAACUCGGUGACAGGUGCUGCAUGGUUGUCGUCAGCUCGUGCCUUGAGGUGUUCGGUUAAGUCCGUGAACGAGCGCAACCCUUGCCCUAAGUUGCAUUUUUCUUAGGGGACUGCCGGUUCUAAAUCGGAGGAAGGUAAGGAUGACGUCAAAUCAGCAUGGCCCUUAUACCUAGGGCGACACAGGUGCUACAAUGGCCAGUACAACGGGCAGCCAAGGAGUAAUCUGGAGCUAAUCCCCAAAACUGGUCCAAGUUCGGAUUGAGGGCUGCAACUCGCCCUCAUGAAGUUGGAAUCGCUAGUAAACGCGUAUCAGCCAUGGCGCGUUGAAUAUGUUCCUGGG